rnacentral:rRNA from 1 species
UACGGAGGGUCCAAGCGUUGUCCGGAUUUAUUGGGUUUAAAGGGUGCGUAGGCGGUUUUUUAAGUCAGAGGUGAAAGCCCACAGCUCAACUGUGGAACUGCCUUUGAUACUGGAAGACUUGAGUAUACUAGAGGUAGGUGGAAUUUAUGAUGUAGCGGUGAAAUGCAUAGAUAUCAUAAAGAACUCCGAUAGCGUAGGCAGCUUACUGGAGUAUAACUGACGCUGAGGCACGAAAGCGUGGGUAGCAAACAGG